GAAAGAGCAACGCGUCGAGGGUUCCGCGCUCGCGGUCUGAGUAUGUUGUGGUAGUGAACGUGGCUCGUAACGAUGCACGCGUUGUUCGGCGAACAGAGCCCCUAUGCGUACCGUGGUGGAGCCGCCGGCGGCUACUCAGCCGGAGUGACACCCUAUGCCUACGAACAAUACCGAUACGGAUAUGGAGCUCCUUACCUCCAUCCGCACCAACAGCACGUUGGGGCGCCUAAGGAUAUGGUCAAGCCGCCCUAUUCGUAUAUUGCCCUCAUCGCAAUGGCGAUACAAAAUGCACCAGAUCGACGCAUCACACUCAACGGCAUCUACCAGUUUAUUAUGGAGCGAUUUCCAUACUACCGAGAAAAUAAACAAGGUUGGCAAAAUUCUAUUAGACAUAAUUUAAGUCUCAAUGAGUGUUUUGUAAAAGUGGCGAGGGAUGACAAGAAACCUGGCAAGGGAAGCUACUGGACUUUAGAUCCUGAUUCAUACAAUAUGUUUGAUAAUGGUUCAUAUUUACGACGGAGGCGUCGAUUCAAAAAGAAAGACGCCCUCAAAGAAAAGGAAGAAGCUUUAAAAAGGCAGCAACAACUUCAGCAAGCGCAAGAAGCACUCGCAGCCCAAGAAGCGCUCAGUGCGGCGGAUGCACUAGGACAAACACGAGAUGUUAAACCGGACGUUAAACCUCGUAUUUUCGAGUGUAGACCAAAACGAGAGCCAGGUGCAGAAUGCGCACGUUACGAUAAACCUGCCGACGCGCUCGACGAAUUUAGUGAACCUCGGUUGCCACCCUCUGCCGUAUAUUGUUCACCGCAGCCCUAUUCCUUAGCGGCAGAAGAGUUUCGAGCUGCUACGUCUGGCUGGUAUGCAGCGCCUGAACCACCUACGGAGCAAUUACCACCGGCCUUCCGAGACCUUUUCGAACCACCGAGUUGCCAGUUAGCUGGUUUCCGUGGUAGUUCUCCAGGACCUGAAGCGUAUCGAGCCUCUCCACCGCCGCACCACCAUUACCGUACGCCAGCCCCUUCAUACUACCACCACCAAGCGUGCGUAGCAGCUGCACCUGCGCCUGCUCAUAAGUCCUACUGAGACACUGCCCUCAGGAGGCCGGCAUCAUACGGCGCCGAACGGAUUUAGCCGCCCGCGUCAGUUCCAGAGCGGAUAAAUAUAGCGCAGUAGCCGGAGAUGCCGUGAAGGCAAGUGGCGGCGCGUCGAUAACCACUGUUUACAGAUCGGCGGCCGACCCUGCCGCCUCCCGCUCCGUUCACACCUAUAGGUAUAUCGGUCUAUGAAGAAAGCGGGAGCCGGAGUGCAGGGGACAGCCAGAGUACCUAAUGUUAUAUGAGGACGCGGGUAUUCCGGGAUUAUUGUGAACGUUGGUUUAAAACCCAGUGAAAUAGUUUACAACGUGAACAAGUUUUAUUUAUUUUUCACAUUGUAGAAGUCUUGAGAAUUUUUAGGUGUAUAUUACUAAGACAGAAGACUUAUUUUAGUAAGUAUUGAGUGCAUAGGUAGUUUUGCAUUCAAUGGUGGAUUUGUAGAUAAGACGUUUCGAUGUUGUUAGACUAUAAUAUGAAUACGUGCUUAGAGAGAGAAAAAAAAAUAAAUUCAAUCGCAUUUCUAUGUAAGUAAUAAUUAAUAUCAAUAAUGUAAAUAUACAUAUUUACUUGUCGUAAGUAAUGAAAAAUUUAGAUUUAAGUAAAAUGGUUCAUUUUACUCAAAUCAACAUGAUUGAAUUCUAGUCUGAUGUUGUAGAUAUAUUAAAUAGAAUUUGAAUUUAUUUGGUAUUAUUUAUGUGGAGAAUAUAAAUACUAUAAUACCAAAAAAUUCAACGAUGUAGUCAUUUAGGCAUAUACUUACUUGGAAUAAAAACAAUUCAAUAACGCCCUACUGAAGAACACAGUACUGCAUAGGUGUCUCUUCAUAAAAGUACCUAAUCAGCCUACUAAUACAACACGAGUUAAGUGAUCUACUAAAGGUUGUUUUAGUUUUCCUUCUAUUGCUCUGAUCUGAUAUGCUACAGCGGCCCUAUUUAUCGGUACUAUAGGAUCGUGGAUAUUAAAAGGAGCAGUAACAUAUAUUAUCGUCUCCUCUGAUCGAUCCGAUUGUCCAAUUCAAAUGGGGAUCGAAAUUACGACGACCUGAGCCGAGGUUUUCACCUCUAGCGAUGCCCUCAGACUAAAGUCGU